rnacentral:hammerhead_ribozyme from 1 species
GCACUGUUGAGGAAUCCCAUAAUAGGACGAAACGGCCAGUCCAGUGC